rnacentral:rRNA from 1 species
AUUUAAUUAUUUCUUAGUGGUCUUAUGUACAUUAGAACUCCGUAGUUAAGCGCGCUUAAGAUAGAGUAGUAUUGAGAUGGGUGAUCGCCUGGGAAGUCCUAGUGUUUUACAUA